AAAAUCUAUGGAGUGAAAUACAAUAGGUAAGAAAUAAAAGAUAAAUUAAGGAAUACAAUAUUUAAAAGAACAACUAAGGAAGCAGAUGUUACAAUAAAAUUAAACAAUCUUGAGUGAAAAUGCAAGAAAGUACUAAACUGGUGCCCAAGGUACAAUAAACGCAAAACAAUUUAGAAGGUGAACAGACCAAAUUAAGGAAAAAGCAGAUAUAUCCUACAGAAGUGUCACACAAACGUGCCUUCAAUUUGAAAUACGAAUUUUUACAAAUAAGAAAAAAUAUGUAUACUUUUGUUUUGCUGUGAAAUGUUUGAACAUAAAACAGAACUCGUGAUUGCAAUCAAACAUGAAAUAGGUUUUUGAAAAUUGAGAGAUGCAUUUUAUAAUAAAGGAAGGGGCAUGCCAAAGAUCAAAGACUACCAAAAGCAACAACUUGCUACCUAAAUAAACGAUUUAGGAUAAAAUGUUGUUGAGACAUCAAUGAAAUUGUAUCAAUGGGCUGCGUGUAUACAUUUCAAGCAAAGAUAUUUUAUAUCAAGAGCCUACAUCUAGACAAGGAUAUCAAUACAUAGAGAGAUUUUAUAUCGAAGAGCAUGAUUGUACUCUCUUCAACAUAACAAAUCUAACCGUCUAAAGCUUUGAAAGCGCCGGUUCUGUGAAAUAUCAAUACAGAGUUAUUCAACCACAUGAUCGUAAAUUUGUGACAUCAGAUUCCCUUUAAAUCUUUUCUUUUAUUAUAUUUCAAGCAAAUAUUCUUGUAUAAAAGAAAUUAGUAGUUAUAUACAACACAUGUGGAGGUUGUACCAAAGAUUAUUACACAAAACAGGGAUAUAAUGGUUUGGAUUGUAUAACUGUACAUUAAAAUAAUUAAUUAAAAAAUAUGUCAACCACAGCACGGUAAUUGUAAUUCCUAUAUAAAUGUUAAAUAAUAAACAAUCAUGAUAAUAGCAACAAAAUUCUCAUGUAUUUCAUAACCUUUCUGUAGAGAUUUCAUUUUAAUUAAUUAAAGUUCGCUCCAAAGAAGCUCUA